rnacentral:ribozyme from 1 species
AAGAAGAAAAAGGAGAAGAAGAAGGACAAAAAGAAGAAGAGGUCAAUGCCCGUUCUUUCUUUCUUCCUCUCUGUUGUU